rnacentral:lncRNA from 1 species
UCUAAUGUGUUGGUUUAAAUAGGUCAGCAUCCUGCCCUGUGGCGGGAAGCCAUGUGGGUUGAGUCAUGUUCGAAAUGGCUUGAGGCUGGGUUGGGCCGAGUCAUAUUCGAAGUGGCGUGAGGCUGUAAUAUCCGAGAUUUUGAUAAUAAAAAAAAUUUCGAAUUUGAAUUUUUUAAAUUCAAAUUGUAUAUGUAUAUAUGUGAGUGUGUGUGUAUAUAUAUAUAUAUAUGUAGUGGAUUGCAGAGAGGGUGUGUUUCGUCGCAAAUCGGCAACUAAAUCGGAUGAAACGAAAUAGUAGAUUCGAUG